rnacentral:rRNA from 1 species
GAUGAACGCUGGCGGCGUGCCUAAUACAUGCAAGUCGAGCGAACGGACGAGAAGCUUGCUUCUCUGAUGUUAGCGGCGGACGGGUGAGUAACACGUGGAUAACCUACUUAUAAGACUGGGAUAACUUAGGGAAACCGGAGCUAAUACCGGAUAAAAUUUUGAACCGCAUGGUUCAAAAGUGAAAGACGGUCUUGCUGUCACUUAUAGAUGGAUCCGCGCUGGAUUAGCUAGUUGGUAAGGUAACGGCUUACCAAGGCAACGAUGCAUAGCCGACCUGAGAGGGUAGUCGGCCACACUGGAACUGAGACACGGUCCAGACUCCUACGGGACGCAGCAGCAGGGAAUCUUCCGCAAUGGGCAAAAGCCUGACGGAGCAACGCCGCGGGAGUGAUGAAGGUCUUCGGAUCGUGAAACUCUGUUAUUAGGGAAGAACAUAUGUGUAAGUAGCUGUGCACAUCUUGACGGUACCUAAUCAGAAAGCCACGGCUAACUACGUG